UACGUAGGAUGCAAGCGUUGUCCGGAAUUAUUGGGCGUAAAGAGCGAGCAGGCGGUUCGACAAGUCAGAUGUGAAAUAUCCCGGCUUAACCGGGAGGGGCCAUUUGAAACUGUCGGACUAGAGUGGAGCAGAGGACAGUGGAAUUCCCGGUGUAGUGGUGAAAUGCGUAGAUAUCAGGAGGAACACCAGUGGCGGAAGGCGGGUGCUCUGGGCCGGAACUGACGCUGAGGAGCGAAAGCGUGGGGAGCAAACAGG
rnacentral:rRNA from 1 species